rnacentral:rRNA from 1 species
UGCGUAGGUGGCCGGGUAAGUCUGACGUGAAAUCUCCAAGCUCAACUUGGAAACUGCAUCGGAUACUAUCCGGCUCGAGGAUCGGAGGGGAGACUGGAAUGCUUGGUGUAGCAGUGAAAUGCGUAGAUAUCAAGCGGAACACCAGUGGCGAAGGCGAGUCUCUGGACGAUUCCUGACGCUGAGGCACGAAAGCCAGGGGAGCAAACGG